GAUGAAGAACGUAGCGAAAUGCGAUAAGUAAUGUGAAUUGCAGAAUUCAGUGAAUCAUCGAAUCUUUGAACGCACAUUGCGCCCGCCAGUAUUCUGGCGGGCAUGCCUGUCCGAGCGUCAUUUCAACCCUCGAACCCCUACGGGGGGUCGGCGUUGGGGACCUCGGGAGCCCCUAAGACGGGAUCCCGGCCCCGAAAUACAGUGGCGGUCUCGCCGCAGCCUCUCCUGCGCAGUAGUUUGCACAACUCGCACCGGGAGCGCGGCGCGUCCACGUCCGUAAAACACCCAACUUCUGAAAUGUUGACCUCGGAUCAGGUAGGAAUACCCGCUGAACUUAAGCAUAUCAAUAAGCGGAGGA
rnacentral:misc_RNA from 1 species